CCACCACAAGCAACAUGCAAUAAGCGUGCUAAACGUGAGUCUUCACAUCAUUGGACUGUCGAUGGAAUAGCCAAGUGAUGCAGCUAGUGGACCCGUUUCACCCAAUGAUGCAAGAAGAUCUUCCGGCGCUAGUAAUCCCAACGAUAACUAUUGAAAUUCAUUUUAAUUGAAGUGGAUGUAUUAGGACAAUGUGAUUAGCUGACUAACAUGAAUGAGUAAUUGUGUUCUAAUUUA